GAUCCUGGCUCAGGAUGAACGCUAGCUACAGGCUUAACACAUGCAAGUCGAGGGGCAGCAUGACGGAAGCUUGCUUUCGUUGAUGGCGACCGGCGCACGGGUGAGUAACGCGUAUCCAACCUGCCCUUGUCCAUCGGAUAACCCGUCGAAAGGCGGACUAACACGAUAUGCAGUUCUCAGCAGGCAUCUAACGAGAACGAAAUGUGAAGGAGAAGGAUGGGUCA
rnacentral:rRNA from 1 species